GAUGAACGCUGGCGGCGUGCCUAAUACAUGCAAGUCGAGCGAAUGGAUUAAGAGCUUGCUCUUAUGAAGUUAGCGGCGGACGGGUGAGUAACACGUGGGUAACCUGCCCAUAAGACUGGGAUAACUCCGGGAAACCGGGGCUAAUACCGGAUAAUAUUUUGAACUGCAUGGUUCAAAAUUGAAAGGCGGCUUCGGCUGGCACUUAUGGAUGGACCCGCGUCGCAUUAGCUAGUUGGUGAGGUAACGGCUCCACAAGGCAACGAUGCAUAGCCGACCUGAGAGGGUGAUCGGCCACACUGGGACUGAGACACGGCCCAGACUCCUACGGGAGGCAGCAGUAGGGAAUCUUCCGCAAUGGACGAAAGUCUGACGGAGCAACGCCGCGUGAGUGAUGAAGGCUUUCGGGUCGUAAAACUCUGUUGUUAGGGAAGAACAAGUGCUAGUUGAAUAAGCUGGCACCUUGACGGUACCUAACCAGAAAGCCACGGCUAACUACGUGCCAGCCGCCGCCGUAA
rnacentral:rRNA from 1 species